AUCUCCGCAGGGAAAUAAUCAAAGUAUUUUAAUGAGGCCGGACGGCAGUUUUAUUCCUUUAUAGGUACAGUUGUGCUUUCAAAUAUUAAGAACCGUCUUGGCCAAAAGUUCUUCAGGUGGAAAUCAAGCCUUCCUCCUGUUGCUGCUGCUACUGCUGUUUAACCAAUUCGAAAAUGCUGCAGCUAAUCACAUACAAUUCAAUUCGUUUUACAAUUUCAACUAAUUUCCAUUUCAAUUAACUUGCUAAAAUGUAAUUUAGCAGGACUAGCAGGCCAGGACGAACCCAUCUAGAAUCCAGGUGGUGAGCUGGCCGAAAACCGCGUGCAAACCGUUCGGAAGGAGCAUGACCGACUGAGGACGAGAAACAAGGACGAAAAGGACGAUGUUGCAGCGCUGACAGACAGUUACAAGCACGGGACACAUGUGCUCAUAAUAAUAGAAUAUUACACAAAGGUUCUACAACAUUUGAAAGCGGAAUGCAAUUCGCACACUAGAAUUCCAGUCUCUAAACAUUUUUUUGAGCUUUUAAAAUUUGUACUAUUAUUUUGACCGCAACUGCGGUCGUACACAUAUAGCUGAAGGCAGAAAUCUGUGCGGUUGGUAUGCGCUCAAAAUCGUAAUUGGACUACAACUGUAAAAUCAAACAACUGACUCGACGGAUAGACUGAGUGGGAGGAUUGGAUGGUGCUAGUGGGCGGCGGGUGGUCGCUACUUGGUCAGACAGGUGCAGCAAACUGCCGCUACCACAUUGCUCCAGCCUUCUCCAUCCGCUUUCACUGCUGCUCACUGACGAACCUGACAAAGGCAUAAACGAAUCAUGCACAUGGCUGAAUUUUCGUCCCAGCCGACCAAGGAAAUUACUGAUGGACCUUUGGAUGUCCUAUGCUAAUUACUAUAUUACUAUACCAAUUUCAGUAUAAGAUUAUUUUAAUAUUGUUUUAAAAUUAAUCGCAAAAGAGUGUAACUAAAACUAUGAACUUUUCAAUAGAAAUUCGACAUCCAGUUCAGUUCAGUGGGAAACCCAGUUAUAUUUUGGGCUUUCAGCCAUUUCAGAAACUUCAGUUUCAUUUUUGGACUUCUCCGGCGCAACAGUUUGAAAAUGGUUAUUAAGUUGGAGUCUCAUAGUUUUUCACUGAUCAACAAGCAGUUGGUUACUCAAACCAAGCAGUGCAGCCAGGAUAAUUCCUGGGGCUCCUAGAGUGGUGGCAGAGCCGGGCAAUUUCAAUAAAUCAACAAAAUUUUGCAAAUAAUUCAAAAAUUUGUCUUCAACUCAUUUGCGAGCACAUUAAAAUGCACAUUUCACAAUUAUAAAAUUUAUGAAUCCUUU
rnacentral:sRNA from 1 species